AUAAUCAAUAGUUCUUUAAUUGGGAACUUGUAUGAAGGAUUGAACGAGAUAGUAACUUUCUAUAAAUAAUUGAAUGUUGAAUUUAAUUUUUAGAUUAAAAAGUCUAAAUUUAAUUAAAAGACGAUAAGACCCUAUAGAAUUUAAUAAUUACAAUAAUUUGAUAUUAAGGUUGAUAUAAUUUAGUUAAAUUAAUAUAAUUAUUUUAUUGGGGAGAUAUUAAGAUUAAAAUAACUCUUAAUUUUUCUAAUCAAUAAUUUUUGAUAAAAUUGAUCCUGUCCUACAGAAUUAAGAACAAAUUACCUUAGGGAUAACAGCGUAAUUCUUUUUGAAAGUUCAUAUUAAUAAAAGAGUUUGC
rnacentral:rRNA from 1 species